GUACUGGCUUUGAUAGAACAUAUGCUGAAACUGGAACAAUACAGAGAAGACUAGCAUGACCCUGUGCAAGGAUGACUUGCAAAUUCGCACACCAUUCCCUACUUUC